UCUCACUGCCUCAAAGUCUCCUUGACUCCCAACAAGAGCUGCUGAGAAUAGAGGUGCUCCAGAGAGAGUCUCUGCCAACCUGCUAGCCAUCAGUGAGCAAUGGGGACCAUCACUGUGCAGGAUCCACCUUGGACAGCCCAUUCAGUUGAACCUCCAGUGAAUUCCAACCCUUGCCACCACUUCACCAGUCACACAGAACCCUGGACUGCACUGACCCAUGCUAAGACUCCACAUCUGACAGUUUGCCCAAAGGAAAAGAAAGGUUCAAAGACAAAACUGAUCCAACAAAAUAAGCCCUAAGAUGUAAUGAUUGACACUCUAUAAAGUUAAACUAAAAAAACAACAA
rnacentral:lncRNA from 1 species